CCAUUUCACUUUCAACAUAGUUCACAAUAUAUACUAAUGACAAGAGAAAACAAUAUCUCUGUGCCAAGACUCAAAAAUUAAUCCUUUAUCUUUUAUUCACUUCUUACUCAAUUAUCAUGUCAUCGUUCGAGCCCACACUCCAGGAAUUCACAAUUUAUAAUUUCCUUCUCAUACUUAUAACAUUAUUUAGAAAUCAACAAUUAGGUGCGGAAGAGUUACGCCAAU
rnacentral:lncRNA from 1 species